ACCAAACACUUCUUAACACCAAAAAUUAUCAGUCUGGCUCCCAAAAACAAUCGUUUCUACUGUAAAAUAAAUCAACUUAUUAAGUGCGAACCCAAAAAAAUUGAUGGUAGAGCAGGUCUCGGUUUCAAAUCUCACCGUUUUUGUACUCAAGAUUCUUGAACCGUUCGCUAUUUAAGCAGAACGUUCAAAGUCGUGGAGAUUUGACUGUCUUUAUUUUUCAGUGGACGAAUGAGAUCCCCACAUACACUCUAAAUUCUGCUUUACUUGACAACUCAAAAAUUUCACGAUUGACAAUCCAAUGGUCGAACCUCGGAGUUUGCAUAAUUCCAGCAAACCCUUUACGAAAUGCUGACAAUAACACUAUUAGAGUUUUCCGUACGUUAAAUAUAGAGAACCUACACAAGAGAGCUAAAUUUCUCUUCUGUUAUUUCAUGUUAUAACGGUAAAAAAAUAUGGUGAAAGCCGCAAAGAACGGUGUUGCAGAGAAUGCUGAAGAUCUCGAGAGGCAGAGGCUACGUAAGAUGGCUUUUAGCAGGAAAAUAAUUUCUCAGGUGCGAGCAAACCCUAGUCGCCCUUUGCAGCCUUCAAAAUCCAUAAUUAAAAGCGACGGAAGAGAUAUUGUGAAGAAAGGCCAGAGGAAAAGCAAAUAUCUAUUUGCUUUCCCUUGCCUUAUAGCUCCUGUUUCUGGUGGCAAGAUGGGAGAAUUGUCUCACCUGGACACUAAAAACCCUAUUCUUUAUGUCAGUUUUCCUCAGGGGCGGCUGAAGUUCUUUGGAACAAUCAUGUAUCCAAAAAACAAAUAUAUAUCAUUGCAUUUCCCGAAAGGAGCGGGAGAUAUUGUCUGUGAGGAUUCUUUUGAUAGUCUAGUUGUAUUUUCUGAUGUAUGGUGGAUUGGAACGGAGGAGGAAAAUCCUGAAGAAUUGCAACUAGAUUUUCCAAAAGAACUAAAUCAGGAGAAGCAUGCAGAGUUCGACUUUAAAGGUGGUGCUGGCUGUGUAUCUGACCAUAAAGAUAUUUCUGCCAAACAGCUUCCUUUGAAGGAAUGUGUUGAACAACUGACUCAUGAUACCGACUCUGACUCUGAGUCCUUGAGAGACUGUUCAGACAAGUCCACAAUAAAUAUUGUAAGAGAAGAAUCAAAAACACCAGUGCAAGAAGAAUCAAAGACACCAGUGCGUACUUCUUCACGGAGAGCAGGGAAGACAUACAAGUUUGUAGAAUCUCCUUCUGAAGAUGAACUAGAAAGUACAGGAAGUGAUUCUGGUUCAUCGGACAUAGAAGUGAAACACACAGAAAAGAAACAGGAAGUGAAUCGUAAUCUCUUCAAUGUGCAUGAAGAAGCAGCAGUAGGAGAUUCUGUCCCUAUUUUGGCCGACCUUGGAAAUGAUGAAAACAAGAAAGCAUCUACCAUGGAUGCCCAGAAUGCUUCCUCCUCCGCUCCAAAGACUUCAACACGGAAAAAAUCCAAAGAAAGUGUAAACAAGUCACCGACUUUGGCAACAACAAAGGGACUUGUACAAUCGAGCUUGUCUUCCUUCUUGCUCAAACCUGAGGAAAAGAAGUCACAAAGUGAAAAGGCCCCAGUGACGAAAGGGCCAGUUCAAAAGAGGCAGCAGCCAACUGAUAGCAAGGGAAAAUCAAAAAAGAAAAAAAGUCCAGAGGAAAACUUAAGCCAGGAAGAAAUUGUGCAGGAAGUGAACACAACACCCAGGCAAGUUGGACGACGUAUAUCAGGAAGGGGAGGAAGUGGGAGUAAAGCAAAACAAUCUAAGAAAAAGCAGGAAAGUUCUGAUGAAGAAGAAGUGCCAAGUGAAUCUGAGGAGAGUGAUGAGAGUGAUGAAGAUUGGAAAGCUUAGCUGAUGCAAUCUGUCAAUAGAGAAAGGAUGAUGAAUUUUCACGAGGCUUUGCAAUCAUUUGUUACUCUGCAAUCAAAAUAUUGGAUACGAACAAUGUCAAAUUGAUAUGGAGAACUGGUUGGAAGUGGAGGAAAAUCCUUGGUGUAGACCAUCAAAGCAUGCAACCAUGCUCGUAAGUAAAAAUGACAUUAGCUCUCUCUAGUAUCAUAGAUUGUGACACAUCAAUUUUGUAUCUAUACAGUACAUGAACAGCUCCAUCUAACACUGCUGUAAAUUGUUGUCGUUGAUGUCAAAGAUCAUUUUGUGGCAUAUUUGAUUGAGGACAGCUUGUGCCAAAUUUAUGGCACUAUUAUUGAGACAUAUUCAAGCAAGGAGAUAAAUUGCAUAUCUAAAGUUGAGUUAUAAAUUGUAAAAUAUUUUUAAUUGAUUUGACCGACCCCCUCUUGGAGCUGACCCAAUUAUGGAAUUUAAAAAUGCAUUUAAAUAUUACUUUAAUAAGGGAUGACCCCCUUGA